rnacentral:rRNA from 2 species
CGGCGGACGGGUGAGUAAUGCUUAGGAAUCUGCCUAUUAGUGGGGGACAACAUUCCGAAAGGAAUGCUAAUACCGCAUACGUCCUACGGGAGAAAGCAGGGGAUCUUCGGACCUUGCGCUAAUAGAUGAGCCUAAGUCGGAUUAGCUAGUUGGUGGGGUAAAGGCCUACCAAGGCGACGAUCUGUAGCGGGUCUGAGAGGAUGAUCCGCCACACUGGGACUGAGACACGGCCCAG